GGAGGAGAAGGAGGAGGAGGCAAGGAUACGCCCGGGCGCUCGCCGUAAUCCAUUAGGCUCUGGGCUAAAGGCAAUCCCAGGAGCGGACACCAAAUCAAAGAAAAAUCAAAAGCAAAAGGGGAGAACAGGUAGGGGUGGGGGCUGGGGCUGCGGCGGGACCGGCACCAGGACCGGGACCGGCACCGGGACCGGGACCCCCAGGGCUGGACCCGGACCCGGAGCCGGUCCCGGAGCCCGAGCGCUCUGGGAGCCCCGGACGCCGCGGACCCGGUAAGGCGCAUCCCAGCGACUGGAAUAUACCUCUGCGGAGACAAAGGACUAGGAGGACUUUCAACGCUUUCAGAAAUCAGCCCCAGAUGCCGAGCCCGCAACACCUCUGCACAUUUGAGAAAGAUUUCCUUUCGCCCAAACUAACAAGAUGUACACGGCCUUUUAGGCUAAAAACCUGUCGCCACCGGUCAGUGCCCGGUGGAGCUGAGUUACGGAUGUUGAGCAUUUAUGGAUUUUCUGAAAAAUGAUCGCAGAUGCCACUUGGCCUACAUUCUCCGCCCUCAACUGCGCGAUUUUUCUCUCCCCCCACCCAAUAAACCGUCUCUGGCUUCUUAUAUCCCAUCUGCACCUCUCUAUGGGCGGAGGAUGGGGUGAUUGCCCGCGUCGAGAAGGACGGCCUGGUGAGCGGGGAGUAGGGAGAAGGGAGAGGAGAGACAAGAGAGAGGAGAGGAGGGAAGUGGUGGUAAAUCCUGGACUCGCAACGGCCUUCCAAAAUGGCUGAUCCGUACUCGCAUUCCCCGGAGCAGCCCUGAAUUCCGGCCUUUUCCUCCCCUUCUCCUCCCCUGAUCUUCACUGCGACCUCCGGCUUCACAUCGAAGCGGUUCCUCGGCCGGGUGUGACCAGAUCGUCCACUCUGUUUAAUAACGGGUAACAAUUACAAGAAAAGAUUCCCAAAUUCUCAGAGGAGGGCGGGGUGUCCAGGAUCUGAGGAAGACCCCACCUUUCUCUGCGCCGGGCGUUUUCCAGGGCGUUAUGCAAAUUUCUGCAGCAGAAUGUUUGCUGGGUGGUUUUGCCGCAGCGCUCUGAUGUUUACAGGUUUUAACCAAUUAGGUUGGGCAUCAUGUAUGUCUAGCACAUGCCUGUCUGGGAAAAAAAAAGAUCACGUAGGUGGGUAUCCAGAAUGCAUAUAGAACAUCCGCAUUACCAGAAACAGUCUUAUCCGUGUCUGUUUGUGGGUAUAAGCACAUACACAAAAUACAUGAAUUCUUACUAACGACGAAAUAAAUUAUCUCACUUUUCUUUAUUUA